UACGUAGGGGGCAAGCGUUGUCCGGAAUCAUUGGGCGUAAAGCGCGCGUAGGCGGCCCGGUAAGUCCGCUGUGAAAGUCCAGGGCUCAACCCUGGAAAGCCGGUGGAUACUGCCGGGCUAGAGUCCGGAAGAGGCGAGUGGAAUUCCUGGUGUAGCGGUGGAAUGCGCAGAUAUCAGGAAGAACACCCGUGGCGAAGGCGGCUCUCUGGGACGGUACUGACGCUGAGGAGCGAAAGCGUGGGGAGCGAACAGG
rnacentral:rRNA from 1 species